rnacentral:tRNA from 1 species
GGGGGUGUAGCUGAGUGGUAGAGUACUUGCCUAUCAUGCAUGAGGCCAGGGUUUGAUCCCCAGCACCACAU